rnacentral:rRNA from 1 species
ACGUAGGGGGCAAGCGUUAUCCGGAAUUAUUGGGCGUAAAGAGCGCGCAGGCGGUUCUUCAAGUGAGAGGUGAAAGGUCAUAGCUUAACUCGUGUAAGCGUUGCGAACUGGAAGACUUGAGUGCUGGAGAGGAAAGUGGAAUUCCUAGUGUAGCGGUGAAAUGCGUAGAUAUUAGGAGGAACACCAGUGGCGAAGGCGACUUGCUGGACUGUAACUGACACUGAGGCGCGAAAGCGUGGGGAGCAAACAG